rnacentral:sRNA from 1 species
UUUUUAUUGGCCAACAAGCUUUUCAUAUCUCCCUCUGGGUCAUCUAUUAAAUACUGACAGGCUUAUGAUAUUAAAAUCUGAUCAGUUGGUACAUCAUGGGUGGAAAUGAAAAGUUCACUUUGGACUUAAUGGAUUAUCAAAAAAAUGAUAUCAAAUCCUGUUCUAUUGUAAAACAUUAGAUUAUAUUACUAACAAAGAAAAGGUUUAUCCCAACUUGUAAGUGGGUCACUUUGACCUCAUUUUGGAAUUUAUUGACAUACAUAUUCAAAUCAAAUCUGGGUCAUACCUCUAUAGUCAACUACUAUCUUGUAGUGUAUUUUUUUUUUUAAAGAUGGAUACUUUAGACUUUUCAAAAAUAUUUUAUGGUGUACAUAUUCAUUGUAGUUCAAAACAAAUUGAGACAAGUGUAUCAUGUUCAUGUAACAGUGAAGUUUUCUUUGUUUAUUCAUGUACGUGCAGUUAUUUUGUAAAUUGCAUUCAUAUUUUUAAAAAAGUAAGAUCUUUGUUGCAUUUUUAAAGGGAGAUUUGAUAGGCAUUUAAUCGAGAUGAAAAAAAAUACAAAUGUAAAGAUUUCUAUGGGAGUUUUUUUUCUUGUGCAAUUUUAUCAAUUUUUAAAUAAAAGUCCCUAAUAAGGGAAUUGCCAUAUGGAUGUUUCUCCAUUAUUGUAUCUUGGCUGUAUUUUAUUUAUUAUUGGAAACAAUUUCAGAUUUUUGAACAAAAUAAAUUUGGAACUGUU